GCAUGAGAAGGUGAAUACUCUCAUAGUGCCCCAUGCUAGAACAAACCGUAGCUCCUAACCAUUGCCUCCAUGCCUGUGGGCUGCUGGCACUGAAGUGGGCCACACAGUG
rnacentral:snoRNA from 14 species